UACGGAGGAUGCGAGCGUUAUCCGGAUUUAUUGGGUUUAAAGGGUGCGUAGGCGGACGCUUAAGUCAGCGGUAAAAUUGCGGGGCUCAACCUCGUCGAGCCGUUGAAACUGGGUGCCUUGAGUGGGCGAGAAGUACGCGGAAUGCGUGGUGUAGCGGUGAAAUGCAUAGAUAUCACGCAAAACUCCGAUUGCGAAGGCAGCGUACCGGCGCCCAACUGAUGCUGAAGCACGAAGGCGCGGGUAUCGAACAGG
rnacentral:rRNA from 1 species